UUCAGCUGUAAUGGUGUUUUCCAGUUUCCUGGUGCACAAGCCCUGCCUGUGUCAGAGAACCUACACUAGCAGAAGUUUUGUUUCAGCAAUCCAUGAAGCAAGGAAGCAAGUGAAAGAUGGGAAGCAAAGUGAACUUCCUCUGUGUGAUGCUGUCUGCCUGUCUUUCGUUCUGCUUCAGGAGUCAGGGAUGUGCUACGUGCAGCAGCGACUGUGAAACAGCAAGGAGCUGACCGUGAGGGACUCCCCAUCUUAUGAUACUGCUGUGAUUUUUGACAGGACUCCACAAAGUGUAAGGU